AUUUAAAUAGUUUAAUAAAAAUAUUGAUUUGUGGGGUCAGAGAUAUAGAGAUAUUUUAAAUA
rnacentral:tRNA from 1 species